AGCGGAGGAAAAGAAACUAACAAGGAUUCCCCUAGUAACGGCGAGCGAAGCGGGAAGAGCUCAAAUUUGAAAGCUGGCACCUCCGGUGUCCGCGUUGUAAUCUCGAGACGUGUUUUCCGUGCGGCUCUAUGGACAAGUCCCUUGGAAUAGGGCAUCGUAGAGGGUGAGAAUCCCGUACUUGCCAUGGAAGAACCGUGCUUUGCGAUACACGCUCUAAGAGUCGAGUUGUUUGGGAUUGCAGCUCAAAAUGGGUGGUAGACUCCAUCUAAAGCUAAAUAUCGGGGAGAGACCGAUAGCGAACAAGUACCGUGAGGGAAAGAUGAAAAGCACUUUGGAAAGAGAGUUAAAAGUACGUGAAAUUGUCGAAAGGGAAGCACUUGAAGUCAGCCAUGCUGCUUGAGACUCAGCCUGGCCUUUGGGCUUGGUGUAUUUCUCGGUGGCAAGCCAGCAUUGGUUUGGGUCGUCGGAGAAGCGCAUAGGGAAUGUAGCGUCCCCGGACGUGUUAUAGCCUUAUGCAGGAUACGGCGACC
rnacentral:rRNA from 1 species